rnacentral:rRNA from 1 species
AUGGGAGGCAGCAGUGGGGGAUAUUGCACAAUGGGGGAAACCCUGAUGCAGCGACGCCGCGUGAGCGAAGAAGGUUUUCGGAUUGUAAACCUCUGUCAUCGGGGACGAUAAUGACUGUACCCGAGAAGGAAGCUCCGGCUAACUACGUGCCAGCAGCCGCGGUAAUACGUAGGGAGCGAGCGUUAUCCGGAAUUACUGGGUGUAAAGGGAGUGUAGGCGGGACUGUAAGUCAGAUGUGAAAUAUGCCGGCUCAACUGGCAGACUGCAUUUGAAACUGCGGUUCUUGAGUGAAGUAGAGGUAAGCGGAAUUCCUAGUGUAGCGGUGAAAUGCGUAGAUAUUAGGAGGAACAUCAGUGCCGAAGGCGGCUUACUGGGCUUUAACUGACGCUGAGGCUCGAAAGCGUGGGGAGCAAACAGGAUUAGAUACCCUGGUA